rnacentral:rRNA from 1 species
AGAGUUUGAUCAUGGCUCAGGAUGAACGCUGGCGGCGUGCCUAAUACAUGCAAGUCGAGCGAACUGAUUAGAAGCUUGCUUCUAUGACGUUAGCGGCGGACGGAUGAGUAACACGUGGGCAACCUGCCUGUAAGACUGGGAUAACUUCGGGAAACCGAAGCUAAUACCGGAUAGGAUCUUCUCCUUCAUGGGAGAUGAUUGAAAGAUGGUUUCGGCUAUCACUUACAGAUGGGCCCGCGGUGCAUUAGCUAGUUGGUGAGGUAACGGCUCACCAAGGCCACGAUGCAUAGCCGACCUGAGAGGGUGAUCGGCCACACUGGGACUGAGACACGCCCCAGACUCCUACGGGAGGCAGCAGUAGGGAAUCUUCCGCAAUGGACGAAAGUCUGACGGAGCAACGCCGCGUGAGUGAUGAAGGCUUUCGGGUCGUAAAACUCUGUUGUUAGGGAAGAACAAGUACGAGAGUAACUGCUCGUACCUUGACGGUACCUAACCAGAAAGCCACGGCUAACUACGUGCCAGCAGCCGCGGUAAUACGUAGGUGGCAAGCGUUAUCCGGAAUUAUUGGGCGUAAAGCGCGCGCAGGCGGUUUCUUAAGUCUGAUGUGAAAGCCCAC